rnacentral:rRNA from 1 species
UGGGGAAUAUUGGACAAUGGGGGAAACCCUGAUCCAGCAACGCCGCGUGGGGGACGAAGGCCUUCGGGUCGUAAACUCCUGUCAGUAGGGAAGAAUGUCUCUCGUUCAAUAGGCGAGAGGCUUGACGGUACCUGCAGAGGAAGCCCCGGCUAACUCCGUGCCAGCAGCCGCGGUAAUACGGAGGGGGCAAGCGUUGUUCGGAAUUACUGGGCGUAAAGCGCACGUAGGCGGACCAGAAAGUUGGGGGUGAAAUCCCGGGGCUCAACCCCGGAACUGCCUCCAAAACUAUUGGGUCUAGAGUUCGAGAGAGGUGAGUGGAAUUCCAAGUGUAGAGGUGAAAUUCGUAGAUAUUUGGAGGAACACCAGUGGCGAAGGCGGCUCACUGGCUCGAUACUGACGCUGAGGUGCG